rnacentral:misc_RNA from 1 species
GAAAAAAUGUAAAUGCGUUUUUUAUCAUUUUUGUCUAUAAAGAAUCAGAGUGAUGAUUGGUUCAAUCGUCAAACAUGGGGACUAAUUCUGCUUAUUCACCUACACACAACUUAAAUGAAGAAAUGCAACUUGUUGGUCAUAUCCCAGAUGAGAUUCCAGCUUUUCAAGGGAAUGUAGGAAUUGGAGAUGGAACAAAUUACAGAUUUGGUCGCAGGUUUAGCCUGAGAAUUGAAAAU